UACGUAGGGCGCAAGCGUUGUCCGGAAUUAUUGGGCGUAAAGAGCUCGUAGGUGGCUUGUCGCGUCUGCCGUGAAAGCCCGUGGCUUAACUACGGGUCUGCGGUGGAUACGGGCAGGCUAGAGGCUGGUAGGGGCAAGCGGAAUUCCUGGUGUAGCGGUGAAAUGCGCAGAUAUCAGGAGGAACACCGGUGGCGAAGGCGGCUUGCUGGGCCAGGUCUGACGCUGAGGAGCGAAAGCGUGGGGAGCGAACAGG
rnacentral:rRNA from 1 species